AUGAGGCCAAGAUAGCAAUGCAUGGACUUCAUUUCUCUUGCGGCGGCCGCCCCAUGCACUUUUAUCUUACAUCUGGUCCAUCAACUUGAUAUGCUUCUCCGCCCCUCUUUCAGGCAUACUGUCCACACGAACAGCAGAGAGCUUGGGUUGAGGCAAGAACUCCUUGACAUAUCAGAGAGAUUUGAAGACAGUGAUUUCUCGGAAAAUGACGAUAAUCAAGCAGACAUUCUGGAGGAAAUGGAGGCGGCAGAAAGCAACAAAAGAAUUCGAAAUGAAGAAAAGUAUGGCAUGUCCAGUCAAGCUGGUGUGGAAGAUUUUUCAACAGAUUAUAUGUCAUCUGAGACGAUCUGGGAUUCUGGGGAUGACUCCGGUGUCUAUUUCGAUGACAGAACUACAGAAAAGCCAUAUUGGAACCAGGAUGCGUGUGCUGUUAACGGAGAGGAUCACUCGGUUCCUAGGACACCGCCGACCUCACCUCGCGACAGCCAAUCCAGUCUGAACAGCGAAAACUGCACCCCGCUCGCCCUGGAAAAACUGCGCUGUGACGAAAGCAUCGAUGACCUUCUCGACGAAGACAGCGAGUUCAGUGUGUGGCGCUCUAAAGAGCGGUUUGUGCCACGCUUAAUCAAUGACGAAGCCCCCAACAUUGUUCACUGCGUCGGAUUGCCUUUCUUUUGACGCACACCUAGCACCUAUCCAGCGGGACAUUUAUGCUGAUUACUUGGACUUGGACGCGGAUCACGCUGGUUUUGUACACUAUAACUUGGACACGUAUAUUCAUCGGAGAGCAACAGAAAUGAUAUACCACCCAAAAAACUGCUUAGACAACCAGUCUCAGGUUACAGUAGGAAUGCGGGCAAUACUUAUACAGUGGCUCACGAAAGUCGUCCACCAGCACUUUCGUUUUCACCAAGACACGCUAUAUCUGACAGUCAACAUUCUAGAUCGCUUUCUCGCCUCAACACCUGUAAAAAUAGAAUGUUUUCAGUUGCUGGGUGUCACGGCACUUCUUGUAGCAGGGAAGCAUGAAGAGAUCUACCCGCCAGAAGUGGAGGAGUUGAUUCGACUGUGUUGUGGGGCUUACGAUCGCGCGCAAAUCAUCCGGUUAGAGCGCCUCGUCCUGGAACGCCUGGGCUACACUUUUAUGGUGCCCACCACGCACUAUUUCCUGGAGCAGUACAGUUCUUCGCGGUUGCUGACGAGGCGACUGGCCGGGUGCACCAAGGAUGAUAUAAGGUCAUAAUAAAUAAAAAAAAGAGGUCCCCUCUUGAAAUACUCUAUCGAAGCGAAUACUUGUUAUGGUUCAAUGUCGCCAUGUCUAUUUCUCCGUAUAUCUAUCUAUCUAUCUAUCUAUUUGUCUGUCUGCCUGUCUGUCUGUCUGUCUAUCUGGUUUGAACUUGGCAUUCUCUUCUCGUUUGCCAUUAUGCUACAAUUUUCAGAUUGGUUCCCGUAAACAUAGAAAAGCUAAAUGAAAUGGAAGACAAGAG
rnacentral:misc_RNA from 1 species